AUUGAACGCUGGCGGCAGGCCUAACACAUGCAAGUCGAACGGUAACAGGAAACAGCUUGCUGUUUCGCUGACGGGUGGCGGACGGGUGAGUAAUGUCUGGGAAACUGCCCGAUGGAGGGGGAUAACUACUGGAAACGGUAGCUAAUACCGCAUAACGUCGCAAGACCAACGACGGGGACCUUCGGGCCUCUUUCCAUCGGAUGUGCCCAGAUGGGAUUAGCUAGUAGGUGGGGUAACGGCUCACCUAGGCGACGAUCCCUAGCGUGGUCUGAGAGGAUGACCAGCCACACUGGAACUGAGACACGGUCCAGACUCCUACGGGAGGCAGCAGUGGGGAAUAUUGCACAAUGGGCGCAAGCCUGAUGCAGCCAUGCCGCGUGUAUGAAGAAGGCCUUCGGGUUGUAAAGUACUUUCAGCGGGGAGGAAGGGAGUAAAGUUAAUACCUUUGCUCAUUGACGUUACCCGCAGAAGAAGCACCGGCUAACUCCGUGCCAGCAGCCGCGGUAA
rnacentral:rRNA from 1 species